GAUCUGGAUAACAAUCUGAAGAAACUUAACUCCAGGCUUUUUGUUAUUUGAUGGCAAUCACCUGGUAUAUUUCCAAAAUUAUUUAAGAAUAUUUGAGGCAUAUGGGAACAAACCCCACUUAUGUACAACUGCUUUUAAACAAUCAUUGGCGACUGGAAUUAUCCAAAUGUCCUGCGAAUACAAUAAUACUGAAGUAGCUGGAAAAGUGCACAAGGGCUAUUGAAGAGGACCAUGAUGAGAUGUACUGAAUGCCAUUGCUGGAAGAUCUUGGAAGGAAAAGACAGAAGAGUAAUAGAAACAUCACCAUCUGGAAGAUCUCGUUCAAGUCACUCAUCAACCUGACUUGGAACCAAAUUGCUGAUCCUUUAUUGAACUGGAUCAAAAUUGUAGAACUCCCUUCCACACAGCAGUGCAGGUGUCCCGACACCACGUGGACUGCAACAAUUCACGAAGGUUGUUUACCAUCAACACCACCUUCAAGGGCAAUCAGGAAUAGGC